GAGCGAACUUGAGGGAGCUUGCUCCCAAAAGUUAGCGGCGGACGGGUGAGUAACACGUGGGCAACCUGCCUAUAAGACUGGGAUAACUUCGGGAAACCGGAGCUAAUACCGGAUAAUUCUUUUCUACACAUGUAGGAAAGCUGAAAGACGGUUUACGCUGUCACUUAUAGAUGGGCCCGCGGCGCAUUAGCUAGUUGGUGAGGUAACGGCUCACCAAGGCCACGAUGCGUAGCCGACCUGAGAGGGUGAUCGGCCACACUGGGACUGAGACACGGCCCAGACUCCUACGGGAGGCAGCAGUAGGGAAUCUUCCGCAAUGGACGAAAGUCUGACGGAGCAACGCCGCGUGAGUGAUGAAGGUUUUCGGAUCGUAAAACUCUGUUGUUAGGGAAGAACAAGUACGAGAGUAACUGCUCGUACCUUGACGGUACCUAACCAGAAAGCCACGGCUAACUACGUGCCAGCAGCCGCGGUAAU
rnacentral:rRNA from 1 species